UACGUAGGGUGCGAGCGUUGUCCGGAAUUAUUGGGCGUAAAGAGCUCGUAGGCGGUUUGUCGCGUCUGCUGUGAAAUCCCAGGGCUUAACCCUGGGCCUGCAGUGGGUACGGGCAAACUAGAGUGCGGUAGGGGAGAUCGGAAUUCCUGGUGUAGCGGUGAAAUGCGCAGAUAUCAGGAGGAACACCGGUGGCGAAGGCGGAUCUCUGGGCCGUAACUGACGCUGAGGCGCGAAAGCGUGGGGAGCAAACAGG
rnacentral:rRNA from 1 species